AUGCAAAGUUUGGUGACACACAUUACAUUGGACAACAACCAAAACGCAAAAGAUGUCUGGACUUACCCUUGGAGAGGAAGAGAAUUUUCAGCCAGCAAAUACUACAAAUUCUGCUUUAGGGAUAUGAAGGCCCAUAAAACUUACCACUGGCUAUGGAAAUCAAAGGUCACUACUAAACUCAAGGUCUUUGGUUGGCUCAUGCUGUCUGAUAGAUUGAACACUAGAAACAUGUUGAAGAGAAGGCAAUAUAACAUUGGUACUAACCUCAACUACCUGCUGUGUGGCCAAAAAGAAGAAGACAUUGAUCACAUGAUCCUCACAUGCCCAUUUAGUCAAAAUUGUUGGUCAACCUUUGGGUUAGACCCUGGAGAUCAAGCCACUCGGGCUGUCCUGGCUAGAACAAGCUAA
rnacentral:rRNA from 1 species